UAGUAGCUGCGAGCGAAUAGGGAUAAGCUCAGCACCGAAUCCCGUGGCCGAUACCGGACGCUGGGAAAUGUGGUGUUAGGGAGGAUCCAUUUAUCUCGAGGUUGUGCGGUGCGUCCAAGUCCUUCUUGAAUGGGGCCACAGCCCAUAGAGGGUGCCAGGCCCGUAGUGACCAUUGCCAAUUGCGAGAGGGUCUCUCCUCAGAGUCGGGUUGCUUGAGAGUGCAGCCCUAAGUGGGUGGUAAACUCCAUCUAAAGCUAAAUAUGACCACGAGACCGAUAGCGAACAAGUACCGUGAGGGAAAGUUGAAAAGCACUUUGAAGAGAGAGUUCAAGAGUACGUGAAACCGUUCAGGGGUAAACCUGAGAAACCCGGAAGGUCGAAAGGAGAAAUUCAUUCGUGUUUCGAUAUUAGCAAUAGAUAAUUGUAUGACAAAUGAGGUACGCCAAAUUUGCAUCUUUUGUUUUGUUGAACUAAUAUUGAAUGCGUGCACUUUUCUCCUAGUAGGACGUCGCGAUCCGUUGAGUGUCAGUCUAAGGUCUAUAGUGGAGACUAUCUAAAUAGUUUUUUACUAUCUUUGGAUAGACCUAUAGUAACCCGGCUGGCUCGCUCGACGGUAUAUAGAUGGUGCGGAGCCGCGACAAUUUUGAAUUCGCGUUCAGCCUAUAGCAAGUAUUACGUAUGGAUUUUAUAUUAUCAGUAAUCGGACCUAGUGCCGAUGCUGGUACCAAACGACUGUUGGCUAUAGUGUUCUUGAACAGACUCCGAUUUGAAACACCGAUCUGCGGCGCUAUAGCUUUGGGUACUUUCAGGACCCGUCUUGAAACACGGACCAAGGAGUCUAGCAUGUGCGCAAGUCAUUGGGAAUAAAAUAAACCUAAAGGCGCAAUGAAAGUAAAGGUUUACCUUGCGUGAACCUAGGGAAGAUGAAUAGUUUGCUUAUUUAUAGGUGGCUAUUCCGCAUUCCCGGGGCGUCUCAUUCUCAUUAUGAGAAGAGGCGCACCAAGAGCGUACACGCUGGGACCCGAAAGAUGGUGAACUAUGCCUGGUCAGGACGAAGUCAGGGGAAACCCUGAUGGAGGUCCGUAGCGAUUCUGACGUGCAAAUCGAUCGUCGGAACUGGGUAUAGGGGCGAAAGACUAAUCGAACCAUCUAGUAGCUGGUUCCCUCCGAAGUUUCCCUCAGGAUAGCUGGCGCUCAUUGCGUACGAGUUUCAUCCGGUAAAGCGAAUGAUUAGAGGCAUUGGGGUCGAAACGACCUCAACCUAUUCUCAAACUUUAAAUGGGUGAGAUCUUCGGCUUGCUCAAAUUUAUGAAGCCGUAAGAUAAGAAUCAGAGUGCCAAGUGGGCCAUUUUUGGUAAGCAGAACUGGCGCUGUGGGAUGAACCAAACGCUGAGUUAAAGCGCCUAAAUCGACGCUUAUGGGAUACCAUGAAAGGCGUUGGUAACUUAAGACAGCAGGACGGUGGCCAUGGAAGUCGGAAUCCGCCAAGGAGUGUGUAACAACUCACCUGCCGAAGUUACUAGCCCUGAAAAUGGAUGGCGCUGAAGCGUCGUGCUUAUACUCAGCCGUCAGAGGCAUGUGCGGUCACAUUUUCAUUUUUUUUUGUUAAUGGGCCAUGAAGCCCUGACGAGUAGGAGGGUCGCGGCGGUGUGCGCAGAAGGGCUGGCCGUGAGGCCGUCUGGAGCCGCCGUCGGUGCAGAUCUUGGUGGUAGUAGCAAAUACUCCAGCGAGGCCCUGGAGGACUGACGUGGAGAAGGGUUUCGUGUGAACAGCCGUUGCACACGAGUCAGUCGAUCCUAAGCCCUAGGCGAAAGCCGAUGUUGAUGUGGUGUAAGUUCAUAUAUAAAAUAUAUUAUUAUUAUUAAAAAUAUUUGUACACACCCAUUGGGCGAAAGGGAAUCCGGUUCCUAUUCCGGAACCCGGCAGCGGAACCGUCAAUUUAUCGGGCCCUCAUUGAGAGUUCGUCGGGGUAACCCAAAAGGACCCGGAGACGCCGUCGGGAGAUCCGGGAAGAGUUUUCUUUUCUGCAUGAGCGUUCGAGUUCCAUGGAAUCCUCUAGCAGGGAGAUAUGGUUUGGAACGCGAAGAGCACCGCAGUUGCAGCGGUGUCCGGAUCUUCCCCUCGGACCUUGAAAAUCCGGGAGAGGGCCACGUGGAGGCGUCGCGCCGGUUCGUACCCAUAUCCGCAGCAGGUCUCCAAGGUAAAGAGCC
rnacentral:rRNA from 1 species